GAUGAACGCUAGCGGCAGGCCUAAUACAUGCAAGUCGAGCGGCAAGUUGAGAAGUAAUUCGAGACCUAGAGCGGCGUACGGGUGCGUAACGCGUAUGCAACCUACCUCAUACAGGGGGAUAGCCCGGAGAAAUCUGGAUUAAUACCCCAUAGUACAACGCGAGGGCAUCUGAGUGUUGUUAAAGAUUCAUCGGUAUGAGAUGGGCAUGCGUCUGAUUAGCUAGUUGGCGGUGUAACGGACCACCAAGGCGACGAUCAGUAGGGGUUCUGAGAGGAAGGUCCCCCACACUGGCACUGAGAUACGGGCCAGACUCCUACGGGAGGCAGCAGUAGGGAAUAUUGGGCAAUGGUCGGAAGACUGACCCAGCCAUGCCGCGUGCAGGAAGAAGGCGUUCUGCGUUGUAAACUGCUUUUAUCUGGGAAGAAAAGGCCCAUGCGUGGGACAUUGCCGGUACCAGAUGAAUAAGCACCGGCUAACUCCGUGCCAGCAGCCGCUGUAACAC
rnacentral:rRNA from 1 species